UUGAACGCUGGCGGCCGGCCUAACACCUGCAAGUCGCGCGGAUGAAGGGAGCUUGCUCCUGGAUUCAGCGGCGGACGGGUGAGUAAUGCCUAGGAAUCUGCCUGGUAGUGGGGGAUAACGUCCGGAAACGGGCGCUAAUACCGCAUACGUCCUGAGGGAGAAAGUGGGGGAUCUUCGGACCUCACGCUAUCAGAUGAGCCUAGGUCGGAUUAGCUAGUUGGUGGGGUAAAGGCCUACCAAGGCGACGAUCCGUAACUGGUCUGAGAAGAUGAUCAGUCACACUGGAACUGAGACACGGUCCAGACUCCUACGGGAGGCAGCAGUGGGGAAUAUUGGACAAUGGGCGAAAGCCUGAUCCAGCCAUGCCGCGUGUGUGAAGAAGGUCUUCGGAUUGUAAAGCACUUUAAGUUGGGAGGAAGGGCAGUAAGUUAAUACCUUGCUGUUUUGACGUUACCAACAGAAUAAGCACCGGCUAACUUCGUG
rnacentral:rRNA from 1 species